rnacentral:rRNA from 1 species
UACGGGGGGGGCAAGCGUUGUUCGGAAUUACUGGGCGUAAAGGGCUCGUAGGCGGCCAACUAAGUCGGAUGUGAAAUCCCCAGGCUUAACCUGGGAACUGCAUCCGAUACUGGAUGGCUUGAAUCCGGGAGAGGGAUGCGGAAUUCCAGGUGUAGCGGUGAAAUGCGUAGAUAUCUGGAGGAACACCAGGGGCGAAGGCGGCCGACUGGCCGAGUGCUGACGCUGAGGCGCGACGGCGUGGGGAGCAAACAGG